UGAACAGGAAAGAUCUAUCACAACAGCAGAAAGUCUAUGUUAUUUAAAUAUUGCAUAGGCACCAUAUGCUUUUUCAUUACAUUCUUUAAAGGACUAGAACCAGCUGAUAGGUAAUAAACUCGGGUGUCCUGUACUGAUAAAACACUUCUCACUCCAUGAUUACCCUACAAGGACACCUGGUGCAAAGCCAUACUUUUAUUCUCAUUCUUGCCUAAGUGCUUGUCCAGUUAUUCUCCAAAAACCCUAUUUCAUCAGGUUGCUUAGCAACACUUGGAACAGACUGCUGAGGGCUCCUUUCAUCUCUGGGGAAUGUAUCAAGAGUUUAAGUGGAUGAGUCUGGAAGGAAAAAAAAUAAAAA